GUUUAGUAAAUUAGUUUCUCCUCAAAUCGUUGCCACUGAUCUAGGUCCAGUUCCCUACUCUUUCCCUCUUCCCCCUUUCCCUUUCCUGGGGCGUGGGUCUGUGGGUCCCCCCACCCCACUAUUCAUGGAACCGGGCCGAAUCAGCCCAUAAAUCAUUGAUGUUUUUAGUGGAGAAUGCAGGUGUAGCCCACCUUGGCUGGGAAAAGAUUUACUUUUAGAACAAAUCUCCCUCUACUCUCAGAGAGCUUCCUUAGAAAUCUUAUCUGUACUGUAGGUACCGUACUGAAAACAUGGCCUUGAAAGUCCAGGCAGACUGCCAAUAUUCUGGGAUGUUUGUAAACUUUUUGGGUGCUGCUCGCUUGCUUCUGUAAAGAGAAAAAAAAUGCUUUCUCUUCUUAAACUGCUCUUCAAGGGAGUGCAUUCCAUAAUUUUUUCCUCUUUUAAUGCUCAGAACACACAGGGCCUUAAUUAAGUUUGCCACUCUGCUCUGUGGAGCUGUAUGUAUAUAUGAUGAAUUAAAAGCACUGAUGUAAAUACCUACCUGGUAUCUGCAUACAAGGUGGCAUGCAACUUUAGAGGGAGUUGCUAGUAUUAUAGAGCUUGUGAUUUUUAAACAGUCUCCCAGUCUCUGCCUUGAAUCCUUUAAGCAAGUUUUGAAUACUCAUCAUCUUGUCAGUUUCCCUGAAUGUACUCCUCAUCAUUUUACUCAGUAUCUGUAUUUAUCAUAUUUUCAGGAAGCCUUCCCCAAAGCCAGAGAAUACUGAGUGGCAGGGAGUGUGGAGGGAUCUGGGAGAGACUGUAGAGAAAUGGGCAUCGCUGGUGUCAUGGAACUUUACUCCUGAACACCUGCAAGAUCCUGGGAGCCUAGGCAGGUAUUUGAGGCAGGGAUGUUGUGGCUCAGGCAGAUCUGAGGAGGCACAAAUGAUUUGGGGCCUGGCUAAUGCUUAUCGGGCCUUAUUUAAUACUAUCCCAGAGAGGGAAAGAAUUCUAGAAAUUGAGAGAAGGAUUGUCCAAGCCGAGAAGGAGAGUCUCUGGGCCGAGCGAAAGGGUUUCCAAGCCGAGAAGGAGAGUCUCUGGGCCGAGCGAAAGGGUUUCCAAGCCAAGAAGGAGAGUCUCUGAGCCGAGCGAAAGGGUUUUCCUAGCCGAGAAGGAGAGUCUCUGGGCCGAGCGAAAGGGUUUCCGAGCCGAGAAGGAGAGUCUCUGGGCCGAGCGAAAGGGUUUCCAAGCUGAGAAGGAUAAUUUCCGGGCUGAGCGAGAGAAUCUCCAAGCCGAGAAGGAGAAUCUCCGGUCUGAGCAAGACACACUCCAGUUCGAGAGGAACUCCCUCGAGGCUGAACGGGAUAUACUCCGAACUGAGCGAGAUGCCCUCCAGCACGCAAAAUUUAGUCUCCAAAGUGAGAUAACCAAAAUUCAGUCUCAUCAAGCCGAGCUCGAAUCUGGACUAAGCACUCUUAUAAUUCAGCGAGAUAGACUCCGAGACGAGCUGGAGAGUAAGAGCAUCGGGACUGACCAACCUGAUCAACCGUAGGAGGCACCAGAAUCGAUGUCGGUUGCCCCUGUAAGAGAACGGAAAACGAAACGAAUUUCCACUCAGUUAGAACAGAAGAAAGAGGAGGAGGGUGUAGUAGAGGAAGCAGUCAAUGUAAGAGAAGAGGAAGAGGGUGGAGUAGAAGAAGCAGGUGAUGUAAGAGAAGAGGAGGAAAGAGGUCCAGUGGAGUGGCUCCAAGAACUGGAGUGCCCAUGCCCUCAAUAAGACUGCAUGCACAAACACCAAGGAGGGCAGG
ensembl:lncRNA